AGACGGAUAAAAAAUUAUUAUUUAGCCGUCAUAAUUUUUAUUUAUUUUUUUUCCUUUAACGCCUUGUCACCAGAGUGGUAGAGGAACCGAGGCUACGCCUUGGCGCCAUUUUCAAAUUGUGUCGUGUCAGAGACUGAUAACCAGGAUUGAAAAACACAUACAAUAAUUUUCUUAAAUAUGUGUUCUAAUACAUUCAGACGAAAAAUAUUUCUCAUAAAUUCUUAUUUUUUGGCGUGAUUUUGGAAGCAUGGUCCUUUAACCCAAAGCUUCCCAGCAGCCUCACUCAGCUGCAACAGAGCAGGGGCUGCAUACCACUGGACGUCUGCUUUCUGAAGUGGAGAAGGAAGGAAUGGGGCCAGGGGGACUGACAGGAGGUGGUAGGGUUGGGCCCGGGAAAAGGGGGGUUAGGGACGAAGUGUUAGGCUUGCCCCCCCAAAUCAGAAAAGGAAACCCUAAGCUUUGCUGGACGGUCUCUCUGCUACUCCAUCUGGACUGGGAAGCCCUAUUGUUUUGUUAAGUUCAUUUAAAUUUUUUAUUAUUUCCAUUGGUUACUAUUAUUAUUUAUUUAUUCAAGCUUUUAGCAAAAUAAUGAUACAUAUUUAUGUAUUGGUUUAUAAAUUAUGAUGACUUGUUCUUUGCUCAGCAAAGAUAGGUUGGUUAUUAUUAGAGCUUAUUGUUAGUUAUUUUCAGUAGUGUAUGUAGUAUGCUGUAAAAACGUGAUGAAUUAAGAGAAAGGGGUGCAUUAAGAAUAAUAUCAAGACUGGCUUUUUGUAAUGUAUAUUAAGUGAAGCAAAAUGUCUUAUUUUACUGUUCUGACAAAGUGCAUGACAGAUUGGUUGGACUCUGCUGGUUUUGUGCUAAGAGUAAUUGGCUGUUUUCCUCUUCUAUUCCUGUUUUAUCUUUUGCUGAUAAUGUGAAAAAGGACCAGAGGUAAGUGACGACCUUUAUUUCCUUCCUGUUUCCCCAUAUGUUAGUUCAAAGAGCUACAUGGCCAGAUUAUGGGAGAAGGCCAGUCAGUGGUAAUUUUUAAUCUAAUCCAUCUUUUUCCCCUCUUCAUUAUCCUUUUUUAUUGUGGUUACAGGCAUCCAGUUAACACAUACACUACAACAGUGCUAACUUGAUAACUACAAUAGAAAACCAAGCAUAAAAACGAACUCUGUCAUUUUCAGCCUUGCACUGUAGCUUUAAAAAAAUCAUGGUUGGGCCUGUUCUUUUGUAGAUAACCAAUAAAUUGGGUUUUUACAGAUUUUUUUUUGUUUUUUCCAUAAUGAUUUUUAAUUCUGAAGAUGAAUAUUUUUCUUUGAUUUGCUUUAGUUUAAAACUGACUUCUGUGUGCGUGUGGUGUGUGUGAAAGGUUCUAAUUAAAAAAAAAAAAAAUCUUAUUUUAUUCAGUGUUUCUGGAAGAAUGUAAUGAAAACAGAUUUUAAUAUUUUUGUUUAUUUUUUUCCAACUUUAACUUUUGUGUUAGUUGCUAUAAUUGUUUGCUAGUACAUUAUGUUGUAUGUGGUGUUCUUUGGAUAUAUAUUUUUUUUACCAAAAAAGUCAGACAUUUCCUGUGUGUUAUACUUUAAUAAUAAUUGUUUAUUAACCUUAUUCUUUUGCCACAUUUUUGAUUGUUGUUUUAUGUGCAUGGUUCAGGCAGCACCUGCUUAACACAAAUUGGCAUAUAUACUGAAUAUGCCCCCAGGUUGCCCUUGCCUGUGGUACCCAGUAUGGGGAAUGUCUCCAUAGUACCUCGCUGUUAUGUCAAUGGCAGAGUUAGGGUGGGGCUGUUAGAUAGGCAAACACUUGUUAACAAGUUGUGACACAGAGUUUCACUCAUGUAUGCACAAAUUAUUGCACACAUACACCUGGAAUGUAUACUCUGAGGGCCAUUGAGUCUCUAGAGAUUACCUCAACAAGAUAUGUGCAAUCUAACAUAAAGAAGCUUUUUGUCUCCUUUUCAAAAAUGUUCUAGUAUAGUACAACAUGUUGUGUAUUUCAUCUUUUAAUGUGAUUUCAGUAUUGACUAAAUUAGCUUUGUUAUAGAAAUCUAGAUAAAACACCCCCCUUCCAGAAAAAUUAUCCCAGUAUAAUAAGAAGUUUCACUUUAAAACAUUUUAGGUCUUCAGAAUAUAAUUAAGAUAAAGUAUGUUGAUGUAUUAAAUGUUGCCUAAUUGUGGGUAGAUUUUUUUUAAUCCACAUUCCCAUAAUUUAUGGAUAAACUCUUUUAAUGUAAAUAUACAAACCUAUAUAACAUAAUUUUGAUUUCUAGGCAUUUGCAACAAUAUGAAAAUAUUUAACUUUUUUGGUAAAUGCAAUUUUAUACUUUUUUCACAGAACAAACUAGAUUAAAUUCUGUUUAAAAGGUAA